AGAGAAAGCCACUUAUACAAACCGAUGGAACUGGAUUUGUAUCUAAGGACAUAGCUUUCUAGUGUCCUGGAAAUAUAUUUAAGGGAAGCAGCGUGAUUAUUCCUGCUUUUGAGAGAUUUGCCGGCUGCAGUGACAAUGAGCCGAAACGUAGGGAGGGCAUAUGUGAACCAGCUUUGCUGAUUCAGUUCCGCCUAUUGGAUGAUGGUAGAGCCGUCAUGGGUACUCUUCUUCUUAACAAGCAAGUAAAUAUUUGGCAGUAUUAUGCUAUUUUCUGUAUCUGAAUGUUGGAGUGUUCAUGUCCUGUCAUGUACUUCUGCUUUCAAUUCAUUUAAUAUGUUGGAUACUAGAAUUUUCUCUUGCUAUGUCCUACUUACUUAAAAGCAACGUGGUAUAUAUUGGCGGAAGUGAAAUUGAUUUUUU